rnacentral:rRNA from 1 species
AUGAACGCUAGCGGCAGGCCUAACACAUGCAAGUCGAGGGGCAGCACGUUAAAGAGUUUACUCUUUAUGGUGGCGACCGGCGGACGGGUGCGUAACGCGUAUGCAACCUGCCUGACACAGGGGGAUAAUCCGAAGAAAUUUGGUCUAAUACCCCAUAAUACCGAUAUAGGCAUCUAUGUUGGUUGAAAGCUUUGGUGGUGUCAGAUGGGCAUGCGUUGUAUUAGCUAGUUGGUGAGGUAACGGCUCACCAAGGCGACGAUACAUAGGGGGACUGAGAGGUUAACCCCCCACACUGGUACUGAGACACGGACCAGACUCCUACGGGAGGCAGCAGUGAGGAAUAUUGGUCAAUGGGCGGAAGCCUGAACCAGCCAUGCCGCGUGCAGGAAGACGGCUCUAUGAGUUGUAAACUGCUUUUGUACUAGGGUAAUUUGCGGUACGUGUACCGUAUUGAAAGUAUAGUACGAAUAAGGAUCGGCUAACUCCGUGCCAGCAGCCGCGGUAAUACGGAGGAUCCAAGCGUUAUCCGGAUUUAUUGGGUUUAAAGGGUGCGUAGGCGGCAGAUUAAGUUAGAGGUGAAAUUCCGAGGCUCAACCUUGGCACUGCCUCUGAUACUGGUUUGCUAGCGAGUAGAUGCUGUAGGCGGAAUGUGUGGUGUAGCGGUGAAAUGCAUAGAGAUCACACAGAACACCGAUUGCGAAGGCAGCUUACAAAUCUAUAUCGGACGCUGAGGCACGAAAGCGUGGGGAGCAAACAGGAUUAGAUACCCUGGUAGUCCACGCAGUAAACGAUGAUAACUCGUUGUCGGCGAUAUACAGUCGGUGACCAAGCGAAAGCGAUAAGUUAUCCACCUGGGGAGUACGUUCGCAAGAAUGAAACUCAAAGGAAUUGACGGGGGCCCGCACAAGCAGUGGAGUAUGUGGUUUAAUUCGAAGCAACGCGAAGAACCUUACCAGGUCUUGACAUCCGAUGCAUAGCACAGAGAUGUGUGAAAUCCUUCGGGACAUCGAGACAGGUGGUGCAUGGUUGUCGUCAGCUCGUGCCGUGAGGUGUCGGGUUAAGUCCCAUAACGAGCGCAACCCCUAUCGUUAGUUACCAGCACGUGAAGGUGGGGACUCUAACGAGACUGCCGGUGUAAGCCGAGAGGAGGGUGGGGAUGACGUCAAAUCAGCACGGCCCUUACGUCCGGGGCGACACACGUGUUACAAUGGUCGGUACAGAGGGCAGCUACCUGGUGACAGGAUGCGAAUCUCGAAAGCCGGUCUCAGUUCGGAUUGGAGGCUGAAACUCGCCUCCAUGAAGUUGGAUUCGCUAGUAAUCGCGCAUCAGCCAUGGCGCGGUGAAUACGUUCCCGGGCCUUGUACACACCGCCCGUCAAGCCAUGGGAGUCGGGGGUGCCUGAAGUACGUUACCGCGAGGAGCGUCCUAGGGCAAAACUGAUGACUGGGGCU